rnacentral:rRNA from 1 species
GUCCACGCCGUAAACGAUGAAUACUAGGUGUGGGGGUUAUCAUGACCUCCGUGCCGCAGUUAACACAAUAAGUAUUCCGCCUGGGGAGUACGGUCGCAAGAUUAAAACUCAAAGGAAUUGACGGGGGCCCGCACAAGCAGCGGAGCAUGUGGUUUAAUUCGAAGCAACGCGAAGAACCUUACCUAGACUUGACAUCUCCUGAAUUACCGGUAAUGCGGGAAGCCCUUCGGGGCAGGAAGACAGGUGGUGCAUGGUUGUCGU